rfam:Otolemur garnettii contig015257, whole genome shotgun sequence.
GCCGGGCGUUGUGGCAGGUGCCUGUGGUCCCAGCUACUUGGGAGGCGGAGGCAGGAGACUCGCUUGAGCCCAGGAGUUGGAGGUUGCUGUGAGCUGUAAUGCCAUGGCACUCUACCCAGGGGGACAGCUUGAGGCUCUGUCUCAAAAAAAAAAAAAAAAAAGUAAAAAAUAAUUAUGCUUUCAGAGCUUUUAUACUAAUUAGAUUCUAAUUUUCUUUUUUUUUUUGAGACGGAGCCUCAAGCUGUCCCCCUGGGUAGAGUGCCAUGGCAUCACGCUCACAGCAACCUCCAACUCCUGGGCUCAAGCGAGUCUCCUGCCUCAG